rnacentral:rRNA from 1 species
CGCGUAGGCGGCUUAGCAAGUCAGAUGUGAAAGCCCCGGGCUUAACUCGGGAAUUGCAUCUGAAACUGCUUUGCUUGAGUCCUGGAGGGGGUAGUGGAAUUCCCAGUGUAGCGGUGGAAUGCGUAGAUAUUGGGAGGAACACCUGCGGCGAAGGCGGCUACCUGGACAGUGACUGACGCUGAGGCGCGAAAGCUAGGGGAGCGAACGGGAUUAGAUACCCCGGUAGUCCUAGCCGUAAACGAUGGGCACUUGGUGUUGGGGGUAUUGAGUCCCCCGGUGCCGGAGUUAACACGUUAAGUGCCCCGCCUGGGGAGUACGGUCGCAAGACUGAA